rnacentral:misc_RNA from 1 species
UCUCGGCUUAUCACCGGCAGUCCCCCUAGAGUGCCCAACUGAAUGAUGGCAACUAAGGGCGAGGGUUGCGCUCGUUGCGGGACUUAACCCAACAUCUCACGACACGAGCUGACGACAGCCAUGCAGCACCUGUGUGCAGGUCCCCGAAGGGAAGAAAUCCAUCUCUGGAAACCGUCCUGCCAUGUCAAACCCAGGUAAGGUUCUUCGCGUUGCAUCGAAUUAAGCCACAUGCUCCGCCGCUUGUGCGGGCCCCCGUCAAUUCCUUUGAGUUUCACCGUUGCCGGCGUACUCCCCAGGUGGAUGACUUAACGAUUUCUCUCAGCCGCUGACUGUGUAUCGCCAACAGCGAGUCAUCAACGUUUACAGUGUGGACUAC